rnacentral:rRNA from 1 species
GAUGAACGCUGGCGGCGUGCCUAAUACAUGCAAGUCGAGCGAACGGACGAGAAGCUUGCUUCUCUGAUGUUAGCGGCGGACGGGUGAGUAACACGUGGAUAACCUACCUAUAAGACUGGGAUAACUUCGGGAAACCGGAGCUAAUACCGGAUAAUAUUUUGAACCGCAUGGUUCAAAAGUAAAAGACGGUCUUGCUGUCACUUAUAGAUGGAUCCGCGCUGCAUUAGCUAGUUGGUAAGGUAACGGCUUACCAAGGCAACGAUGCAUAGCCGACCUGAGAGGGUGAUCGGCCACACUGGAACUGAGACACGGUCCAGACUCCUACGGGAGGCAGCAGUAGGGAAUCUUCCGCAAUGGGCGAAAGCCUGACGGAGCAACACCGCGUGAGUGAUGAAGGUCUUCGGAUCGUAAAACUCUGUUAUUAGGGAAGAACAUAUGUGUAAGUAACUGUGCACAUCUUGACGGUACCUAAUCAGAAAGCCACGGCUAACUACGUG